AAUUGCCCCUUAUUAAUCAGGAGCACAAGGUGCUACCUGCUCCAGAUGGGUGUAUACGUGUAGUUACUAGGGGAGUGCACCAAAAAUAAUAUUCCAUACUGAACCCGUUUCAGUGCUUCAGAAAGCAGGCUGAUUCAACUUGGACCGCUUCCAGGGGAAGCCGCUUUGCCAUGGAUCUGAAUCUGAACCACAGCUUGGAAAUUCACACCUUCUCGUUCCCUAUAACAUUUUUGCUUUUUGACAGAGUUGGACAAAAGGGCAGGUGCAGUAGCCUCUUCUGAGUGAAUUAAGCCCGCCAAAUUUCAGUUUAAGAAGUGGAGGAUUUGUGUGUGUGCAAACUUCUUUUUAAAGGAAACUGCUCAUAACUUAUGUGGAACCUGCUUUUUAACUCCACUUCCAGGCUGAAGACCAAAAGGUGCUCAUUUCUCGAGAACACAUGUCAAGGAGAUGUUGGGGCUUUAGUAAAAUGUCCUAUUGCACAGAGCUGCUGGAGUCAGCCAAACACUGUGCCUCACUUAAUCGGCGUGGAAAUUGAAAUUGGAAAAAUCCACCAGAGGCCGGGAAGGUGUGCCAAAGGAAACAGUGGGAUUUACUGGUAAACAUCUGUUAACAAGAGGCUGAGUUCAGAAGAACUGAUGCUAGGAGAGAGGGGGAUUCCUGUUUUUGCAAGGUCUGCUUUCUAACUACUUUGGGGAUGGGCGUUAUAGAAUGUGUAGAAGAAUGUGUGGAAAGGGUUGCAAGGCCAUGCUGACUAGCCCCGCCCACUACCACUACACUCCCCAACAUCCACACAUUCAACGGGUGUCAAAAGCAGAACAGGUACAGCUACUUCCAACAUCCAUUGAAUGCACAAACCUCCAGAGAGUAUGACGGUGAAAUGCAAGGGUGGUAAUGGGUGCGGCUAGACUGUGGCUGCCAUACAUUGAAAGCACAUUUCCCCCCAAAGAAUUCUGGAGACUGCAGUUUGAUAAGGGUGUUGGGAAUUACAGCUCUGUAGAGGGUGAACUACAGUUCCCAGGAUUUUUUGGGGGGGGUGCUUUAAAUGAGGUUUGGGUGUCUGGUGUGUACACAGUGUGCAUGGCCCUGCUAUCCCUUCUGUGUGUUCCUUCAAUGCAUCAAGGGGUUUAUAUGGGAUACCCACAUGUCCAAAUCUCAGCAAAUGGUAUUUGCAAGGACAUGGAUUCAUUCACACAAUUGCCUCUCUUCAUGAGGAACGCAGGUUUCCACUACCACCCCAAGAUGAUGUCUUAGGACAAGAAUAGGGAACCUGUGGCCCUCCAGAUGUACUUGCCCUUCAGCUCCUUAUAUACUCUGGGCUCCUAAACCACACCCUAACCAUUGCUCCUGGCAGUGAAGGGGUAUCAGGGAUCACUUGCUCACAAGUAGUCUCUGGGUCUGUAGAUGCAUCCUCUGCCGUCACUGUUUAGCUUGGACCCAAAGCCUCUGGCACCGGUGCUCUCAAGGACCAGAGGGGGGCAGCUCCACUUCCUCCUCUGACAUUUUCAGAAGUUCUUCCUCAGGUAUCAACCAAGCAGUCCCAUCGAGGGAAUCCUCCGCAUUAGAAACAUGGGGCCCUGCCUGCUCCUCAAGUUCUCUGACCUAUGGUGUGCCUUCUUCAUCCUCUGAGGACUCAGGGUCUGGCAUCUUUGCUGGGGCGGGGAUUGAAGCAAAGGGUAUUAAUGACCACCUGUCAUUAAUGCUGUCAUUCAAAGAUUCCUGACCUGAGCAGAAGGUUGAGCUAGAUGGUCUCCAAGGUUCCUUCCAAUGCUAACAUUCUGUGAUUCCAUGAUUCUGCCAACCCACCUCCAGGGUUGGAGGACAAAGAGUCUGCAAAGUUCACAAGGAACCUUUUUUUCCCCCUUGUCUGCACUGCAGGACACCACCCAAGCACAAUGUGACAGACAGAUCAGUGUACCUUGCACCUGCUAAUGAUGAGAUGAUUUUGUGGUGAUGUGAACUGCACUUCCAGAUUCUAAACGCAAUAGGGUGAGGGUGGGGUAGAGAAAGGUGCAAUCAUGCAGUUUAUUUCCUGGCUGCCAUGUUAAAACAGUGCUAAUUGCUGUACAAGAGCCCUAAGCAGUUGGGUGAAGCCACUUAAUUACAACGUCUUGUAUACAGUGCUCAAUUAAACAGGAUGAUGUGCAGACAAGCAUCAACUACCCUCUUCUUUA